CACUGAGCAGAUUUCUUCCGGAGCAUGCUAGGAUUCUAAUUGCUCAUUAAGUGUGCAAAUGAAAAGGUGAAUCAAAUACAAUGAAUUAAGUGCAGUCUAAAUUAAGGUACUGUGUAACCGUAAGAGUUGAGCAGUGAUAACAUAGAAGAUAUUAAGGAAAUACAAGACCAAUCCCACAGAUAGGUUAUUCUAGUGGAGGUUAUCAAUUUUCUCUUUUCUUGGAUCCCGGCCACCACCAUGUAGGGCUCAAGUUUUUUCAUCGUUUUUAUUUUAAAUUUCAAUUAUUUCUGACUGAAAAUGACUCUGUUUUGAGUCGAAACGUCUCGGUUUUAUUUAUUGUGUAUUUUAGCCUUGUUUCCCGUUUUUUCCCCAUUGUUUUUUCCACAUUAUCCCUGUCUCAGGCUGCUCCUAAAACUUGUAUUUAUUCUAGUGGAUCGAUUAUUUUACUGCGGGCAAGUGAGAGCCAGGCGAUGGAGUGGAUGCCAAAAAAUUCGCAAGAACUGACCACUGUGGAUUGAUUUCGAAAGAAUAUAAAAAUGUCAGUUAUCAAUUUUAAAUUUUUGUUUUUUUGUAGUUCAAUAAAAAAGUACACAAUCAUUGAAAAAUUCUUACUCGCCUAGCUUUAACGUUUCUCUCAGCUGUUCCAACUCAGAUAUCUACUUGAGUUUGAACUAAUAUUAUCUUUCACUCUGUUUUAUAACAGAAAAACACUGAAACUAAACCCAAAAAGAGAUUUUUUCAUGUAUCUGGUUCUUUAAUUUUUCAGAUAAAGACAUCAGUGUCAGCAAUCUAAGGAGACAUCAUGCUUCCUUUGGUCCUGCAGAUGUGAAAGAUAGUUUGUCUCCCGAUACUCCCUCAUCAACGCCAGGCACUCCUGCCACCCGCAAGAAUAUGAAAUUAGUCGGUGCGUCAGAGAAGAGCACGAGUAUGACUCCUCCGCCCACUGAAAAACAAAAUCACUCUACCAAGAGUAAAGAUGAUUUGAAAGCUCUACAAAAUCUAAGUCCGAAGAUGCCAUUUGAAAGAAUAAUAAUUGGAGGUGAAAAUGAGAAGAAUGUUUCGUCUCGUUUGUCUCCAGAGAUCGCACAGAAGUUCCAGGGUAAAACAAGAGAUGUGAGUAUGAUUAGAAAGCUUCUUUUCUAUGUCUUUUGCGUCUCUCCUUAA
rnacentral:lncRNA from 1 species